rnacentral:piRNA from 1 species
UCUAGACAACUAGAGUCAGGGUGAUU